rnacentral:rRNA from 1 species
UACGUAGGGGGCAAGCGUUGUCCGGAUUUAUUGGGCGUAAAGAGCGUGUAGGCGGCCAGACAGGUCAGCUGUGAAAACUCGAGGCUCAACCUCGAGACGUCGGUUGAAACCGUCUGGCUAGAGUCCGGAAGAGGAGAGUGGAAUUCCUGGUGUAGCGGUGAAAUGCGCAGAUAUCAGGAAGAACACCCGUGGCUAAGGCGGCUCUCUGGACCGAGACUGACGCUGAGGCGCGAAAGCGUGGGGAGCAAACGGG